rnacentral:lncRNA from 1 species
AUUGUGAUAAUGCCAAGUGCCAUGACUUAUAUCAGGGGAUUUAGAAAUUAUACAUCAUUGCUCAAGACAUUGUUCUGCCUUGAUUUCAUCAUACAAUGUUCUGUGAAGCAUGGGAUUUAGAAGCACUUUCAGAUUCAGGUCGGAACCUGCAGAAGGGGAAGAAAAGAGGAGGGCUGUGAUUGUUUCUCAGCAACUGGGGACUCGAAACGUGCGGUUUCUCCGGCCUUGGUGCCUGGGCAGGCGCGCCCUGGUGUAAUUGAAUUUGAAUUUUGGUGUGUUAAGGCACAAGCAUGUCUCAGGUUUUUCUUAAUUCAUUAGUAGGGCUUUGUUUUCUUACAUUUGCUAAUUUGAAUAUACGGAAACACCAGAGCGCAUUAACUUUCUAAAAAAAUAAUAAUC